rnacentral:rRNA from 1 species
UACGGGGGGGGGGCAAGCGUUGUUCGGAAUUACUGGGCGUAAAGGGCUCGUAGGCGGCCAACUAAGUCAGACGUGAAAAUCCCCUCGGCUUAACCGGGGGAACUGCGUCUGAUACUGGAUGGCUUGAGUUCGGGAGAGGGAUGCAGAAUUCCAGGUGUAGCGGUGAAAUGCGUAGAUAUCUGGAGGAAUACCGGUGGCGAAGGCGGCAUCCUGGACCGAGAUUGACACUGAUGAGCGAAAGCUAGGGGAGCAAACGGG